UAUAAGAUAUUGUAUUUGCAUUAAGAUUUUUGAUUUCUUAGGUUUUAGUUUAUUCUAUUUCUUAUAU
rnacentral:tRNA from 1 species